rnacentral:rRNA from 1 species
GAUAAACGCUAGCGGCAGGCCUCAUACAUGCAAGUCGAGGGGCAGCAUGAUACUUCGGUAUUGAUGGCGACCGGCGAACGGGUGCGUAACGCGUAUGCAAUCUACCUUGUACUGGGGGAUAGUUUCUGGAAACGGAAAAUAAUACCCCAUGUUGUCUUAUUAUCGCAUGAUUUUAAGACCAAAGCUCCGGCGGUAUAAGAUGAGCAUGCGUCCCAUUAGCUUGUUGGUAAGGUAACGGCUUACCAAGGCUACGAUGGGUAGGGGUUCUGAGAGGAAGGUCCCCCACACUGGCACUGAGAUACGGGCCAGACUCCUACGGGAGGCAGCAGUAGGGAAUAUUGGGCAAUGGGCGCAAGCCUGACCCAGCCAUGCCGCGUGCAGGAUUGAAGGUCCUUAGGAUCGUAAACUGCUUUUUUAUGGGAGCAAUAAUUUUCUGCGGAAAACCAUGAGAUUACCAUAAGAAUAAGCACCGGCUAACUCCG